rnacentral:rRNA from 1 species
CCUACGGGAGGCUGCAGUGAGGAAUAUUGGUCAAUGGGCGGGAGCCUGAACCAGCCAAGCCGCGUGAGGGAAGAAGGUACAGCGUAUCGUAAACCUCUUUUGUCAGGGAACAAAGGCGGGGACUAGUCCCCGGAUGAGGGUACCUGAAGAAAAAGCAUCGGCUAACUCCGUGCCAGCAGCCGCGGUAAUACGGAGGAUGCGAGCGUUAUCCGGAUUUAUUGGGUUUAAAGGGUGCGCAGUCGGCCUGUUAAGUCAGUGGUAAAAGCCGGGGGCUCAACCCCGGAGAGCCGUUGAAACUGGUAGUCUUGAGUGAGGUAGAAGUAUGCGGAAUGCGUGGUGUAGCGGUGAAAUGCAUAGAUAUCACGAAGAACUCCGAUUGCGAAGGCAGCUUACUAAACUGCCACUGACAUUGAUGCUCGAAAGUGUGGGUAUCAAACAGGAUUAGAUACCCGUGUAGUC